UACGGAGGGUGCAAGCGUUAUCCGGAUUUACUGGGUUUAAAGGGUGCGUAGGUGGGUAGGUAAGUCAGUGGUGAAAUCUUCGAGCUUAACUCGGAAACUGCCAUUGAUACUAUUUAUCUUGAAUACUCUGGAGGUAAGCGGAAUAUGUCAUGUAGCGGUGAAAUGCUUAGAUAUGACAUAGAAUACCUAUUGCGAAGGCAGCUUACUACGCAGAUAUUGACGCUCAUGCACGAAAGCGUGGGGAUCAAACAGG
rnacentral:rRNA from 1 species